rnacentral:rRNA from 1 species
AGAGUUUGAUUAUGGCUCAGGAUGAACGCUGGCGGCGUGCCUAACACAUGCAAGUCGAGUGGGAAAUGUCCGAUCGGAGAUUCGUCAAAGAGAAGACAUGGAUAGCGGCGGACGGGUGAGUAACGCGUAGGUAACCUGCCUUAGGCUGAGGGAUAGCCCGGGGAAACCUGGAUUAAUACCACAUAACGCGGUGAGACCACAUGAUCUUAUCGCCAAAGAUUUAUCGGCCUAAGAUGGACCUGCGUCUGAUUAGAUAGUUGGUGAGGUAACGGCCCACCAAGUCAACGAUCAGUAGCCGACCUGAGAGGGUAAUCGGCCACAUUGGAACUGAGACACGGUCCAAACUCCUACGGGAGGCAGCAGUGGGGAAUAUUGCACAAUGGGGGAAACCCUGAAUGCAGCAACGCCGCGUGAGCGAAGAAGGUCUUCGGAUUGUAAAGCUCUGUCCUUGGGGACGAAGAAGUGACGGUACCCAAGGAGGAAGCCCCGGCUAACUACGUGCCAGCCGCAGC